GGGUGCCGGCCCAGAGGCCGUGGGCGCGGCUGCGCGUGCGCGUGGACCGCGCAGAGGGGCUGCGGGCGCUGCGCCCGGGGCUGCUGCGGAGUCCGGCCCGCGCCCUGCAGGCCCAGCGCGUCCUCCUGGACCCCUACGUGCGCGUGUCUUUCCUGGGGCAGCAGGACCAGGGGCUGCAGGAAGUUGAGAUUCUGCAGCGCAGGCCGGGGCCUGGCGCCUACGCACGGCUGAAACAGGCGCUGGAAGAGCUGGUAGCGGGGAGCAGGCACCUGGGGCAGCUCCUGGUGAGGUCUGUGCCAAGCUGGAGCUCUUUCUGUGGCUGGGGCCGGGUAAGCAAGCCAAGGCUGCACCUCAGAGCUCCCCUGGGGACCUGCUGCCCGAGCCCCCCGAGGGGCUGCCACACCACCUGUACCAGGAUGCUACUUCCAGCUCCGAGCUCACUUGUACCAGGCCCGAGGGGUGUUGGCAGCAGAUGACAGUCGGCUUUCAGACCCCUUUGCUCGAGUCCUCAUCUCUACCCAGUGCCAGACCACACGGGGCCCCGCUGUGUUCCUGGGCAGGUCACUGGCUGCCCCAAGGGUAAAGUUGAUGGAAGACCCUUACCAACGCCCUGAGCUGCAGUUCUUCCCCCUAAGGAAGGGGCCCAGGGCAGCCGGAGAGCUCAUCGCCACCUUUGAACUCAUUGAACUGGACUUCAGCGGCCGGCUCGAGGUCAGAGUACCCUGGCUUAGCCGGCACAGGCUGGGGACUCCUCUUGUUAUUCUUUCAGGUGGUCCAGCUCCAGAGAUUAUGGAACAUAUCCUGGGGUUACCCCUCCAAGUAUUUGCCCCCAGAGAAUGCAGGCUGCAAAUCUGUCCUGGGGUCACCUCACUGGACCUCCUGACUUCAGGGAACAUUAGAAGCAGGCACACUGUAGGUUCACCUUGCCAGGUUUCCAGUCCUAGAGACCCGAGACUGCAGGUGGAUCCUCGUGCCUCAGAUGCCCACCCUCCCUUCCUGUACCUGGCUGUUUCCUGGGAUGCGCCCUUCCUGCCCAUCCAGCCUUGCCCAGUUCCUCUGGAUUGAGAUUUCACUGGCAGCUCUCAAUGUCCCCUCCCUGAGCCCAGAUCUCCCUCCUUUGGCCUGCUUCCUCCUUGAUCUCUGAUCUCUUGCCCCCUGCAGCCCUCAGUGCUAAGUGAUGUAGAGCCCCAGGACCUGACACCACUGGUUGAGCACCUGUCUGGACACCUGUCCCUGCCACCUGAUGUGCGUCCAGUGCUCAGGGAGUUCUGUGUUGAGGUAUUGCUGGGCACACUCACAUUCCCCCCCCCCCGCCUGCCACACGCACAUCUGGGUGCCCUCUGUCAGAUGCAGGCUGCUGAAUUUCUCACUUCCUGACCCCAGGUGCUGUUCUGGGGUCUGAGAGGCCUUGGCUGUGUGCAUCUCUUUGAGGUGGAGCAGCCCCAGGUUGUGCUGGAGGUGGCUGGGUGACGUGUGGAGUCAGAGGUCCUGGCCAGUUACCAUGAGAACCCCAAUUUCACUGAACUCGUCAGGCAUCUGACCGUGG